rnacentral:sRNA from 1 species
AUUCUGCCCAUGCGGGGAAGGAUGAGAAGCUUCGACUAAGGUUCGGCUCGAGCGUCAGCGAGAGAGCGUUGCCGCAGGCAACGACCCGAAGGGCGAAGCGCGCAGCGC